rnacentral:rRNA from 1 species
UACAGAGGUCUCAAGCGUUGUUCGGAAUCACUGGGCGUAAAGGGUGCGUAGGCGGCACGGUAAGUCAGAGGUGAAAUCCCGGAGCUCAACUUCGGAAUUGCCUCCGAUACUGCCGUGCUUGAGGACUGGAGAGGAGUCUGGAAUUCACAGUGGAGCAGUGAAAUGCGUAGAUAUUGUGAGGAACACUAGUGGCGAAGGCGAGACUCUGGACAGUUCCUGACGCUGAGGCACGAAGGCCAGGGGAGCAAACGGG